rnacentral:rRNA from 1 species
GUACUGUGCGAACGUUAUUCGGAAUCACUGGGCUUAAAGGGUGCGUAGGCGGCUGAACAAGUCGGGUGUGAAAUCUCUCGGCCCAACCGAGGAACUGCGCUCGAAACUGUUCGGCUUGAGUGAGAUAGGGGUGUGCGGAACUUCCAGUGGAGCGGUGAAAUGUGUUGAUAUUGGAAGGAACGCCGGUGGCGAAAGCGGCACACUGGGUCUCAACUGACGCUCAUGCACGAAAGCCAGGGUGGCGAACGGGGGAUUAGAUACCCCGGUAGUCCUGGCCGUAAACGUUGAGCACUAGACGGGAGGGGCUUCGGCCCCAUCCGGUCGCAGCGAAAGCACUAAGUGCUCCGCCUGGGGGAGUAUGGUCGCAAGGCUG